rnacentral:pre_miRNA from 1 species
UCGUAAACAACUAAAACGUACUUCACCACUAGCUCCUUGAUGACAGUUGCUCUCGGGGAGCUAGUGGUGAAGUACGUUUUUGUUGUUUACGG